AGAUCUUUGCCUAGACAUGGGAGGGCGGGAGACAGAGGAACAAAAGUGGUUUUGUUUGGUGAUGCCUACCGGGAAAGGCAGCGAGCUGUUUGCUUGUUUACAACCAAGGUGAGAGUAAAGUUAUCUACUGAGAGUCCAAAGGGGAGGGGGAGUUGGUUUCUAAGCCAGGGAUCUAUUUGUGGACUUCAAAGAGGCAUGCUCGGAUCAAGUCCCAAAGCUUUGGCAUGAUGUUUAUUAGCCAAGAGAAGUGUAUUGCAAAUUAAUACCCGGAGUGGCAUUUAUGAAUGGGGGGGGGGGNNNNNNNNNNNNNNNNNGGGAAGCUUCCCUCUUCGCUGGCAUAUUUCCAGCCAGAGGUCUUCCCUCAUCCCUCCCCCUUUUUUUUGGUAUGUUGUACUUGUUUGUUUUUGGAGGUUCCCAGUUUUAGUUCCAGCCCACUGCCUGCAUUGGAAAUCCAAGAGGAAACGAGUGCAGAGUUCUCCCGGAGCCUGACGUCCACUUCCUCACGGAUGCCGGAGGCCGGGUCAACCCUCCUGGCCUCUCUCCCUGGACUGGCGGCGGUGGAAACUGAGCAGCCAAAGCAGAAGCGGAGGAGACCACCGUGGAGUGACUUGUCCUGAAAUCACCAGCUUCGCGAUCUUGCUUAAGAGAGCCUCCUGCGUUGCCUGUUCUAUGAAUGACUCCAGUGAGAAGGAGAGGCUGUUGCGCACACUCCAGUGAAGACAGCUGUUACUGGAAAGAGUUAAGUUCAUUCAUUCAAAAGCGCCCUUUCGUAAGUCCUGGAGGAAUUUGCUAGAGGCGGUAGGUUCUCCAAGGCUUUCUGGGGGUGGGGACUUUUAAAGACAAUGGGUUGUCAAGUGUUAUGCAAAUAAUGAAAGCAAAGCCUAGGCCUGGUCCCCUCGGCUGGCCGAUUUAUUAGAGAACAGUUCCUCCUGCGCACAGUUCAUUGUUUCCAUCUUAGGGAAGCUCGGGAGGGUAGGGGGUGAGGGUGGAGAAGGCAAGGAACAGGGUAGAAGGAGGCGCUGGAGAAACAGAAUGGAGAGGAGGGUUCCUGGCUUCUGUUGUGGCGUCUUUUCUAUUUGACUUCAUGGUUGUAAGUAUUUCCAGAUGGUGAAUCAGACACCAGACGUAACAAUAUUUCCAUAUUUGGGUAUAGCAGUAGCCUGCGUUUUUAACAUUUUUCUCCCUCUGUUAUCCAACCACAAGGCAUUCUUGACAGCUUCAAAUGUUGUUAAAUAUAGACUUAACUUCUGUUCCCAGAGCAGGAAAUUCGUUGGAAUUCCUUGUUUUUCACGCAAUCUGUCUAUCAUGAUUUAAAAUAAAGUUGCAGUGGAUGAUCCAACUGGCCUGAAUAUGCUGUGUUCCUUUGCUGAGGGGAGUUGGAGGGUGAGGGGGGGAAGCCUAGAGGUCCGGUAUACGGCACAGCGUUCAAACAGACACGCCAUUCCAUAGAUGCCUUUAAAAAUCAGAUUAAAGUUUUCUAACGAGGAUGUGUGGGGUUUUGUUUCUGGACUCCAACUGGGCAAUCUCGGAGAAUGGGAUUGUCCCAGAGGAGACGCGGGGAGAACAUUAGCGUCAGCUGUCCAUUUAAAGCAGCGGGUGUGUGGUGAGAAGAGGAGGGGUGCUGGAGUCGUCAAGGCCAGGAGGUGCUGGAGGAGGAGAGGCUGCGGGAACCUCUGUGCAUCGCCUCUGCAGACAGCAUGCUGGGAACCAGGAGAAA
ensembl:lincRNA Gm17501 predicted gene, 17501